UUCAAAAGCUAUGCUAUCGAAGAAGCUGCCCACUGACAUAACUGUGGAAGAAGAGGUUUUAUUGAACAAUAAUGCUAUUUGGACAAGAAUUUGUCCAAAUAUAUUUCAAAAUAUACUUUAUUGAAAAUAUAUUUCAAACUUCAAACCCCUCAACCACCCCAACACACACACCUGGUUCUGCAUAAUAAGAUCAAUUCAUCAUGCAUGAAGGUUCAUAGCUCUCAAAAAUAUAUACUACGAAAUUAACCAAUUGUGGGUUUCAUACACAAAUUUUUUGGUGUUGGAGAUUGAAGCAAAGUUAGCAUAUGAGUUUGUAUGGGAUAUGACGACACCGGUCUCAUUGAUUCAACUAUUGCCUUGGACUCGGUGAUUUGCCACUUUUGUUUCACAGGCUUGCGCCCCACCAAAUUCCGGCUAGCCAUGGAGCCCGCCGGAGCUGCUGCCGCUGCCGCUGCUGCAUCAUCAUCACCUACUUCUGCUCAGGUGAUGCUAAUGCCUCAUGUUUGGGGAUCUCUUCUCAAACCAAAAUCUCUUCUUUUCAAAUGGGGCUUUCCUUCCUUGUCUCUCUUCUCUUACAUUAGCUUCUGAUCCAUCGCAUUGCCGGCGGCGGUGUGAUAUUGGCGGGACGGCUCAAUCUGUUCUUUUUUUCAAUUUUUUUUUUUACUUUUCGCUUCUUUUUUUCUUCCCUCUGCUUGAUCUAGUUGGAUGAUAUAAUUAUUGAGUGAUAUAUCAUGUUUAUAUGCAAAGCGAUUCUUGGUUUCUUCGGCAUUCUAGAUUUUGAUGCUAACCUCUCAAGCUUUGUAGUGUUGUUUGAUUACUUCAAAUCUUUGAAGAAAUUAAACAAUUUUAUUAGACAUAAUAUGUUAAGCUUUUUGAGUA